GAUUUCAAACACCUUGUUUUUUGUAAGGUAGAAAAAAAUUCAUCUGGAAAAAAAAAUUUACACUGUCUGUGUAGUUAGAGAAGCUGAUCUGCAUUGCAGGGAUGCUCCCUGACCCAGACGCUCAGUGAAGUGGAGCUCGUUUUUGCUCCAGUCAUUUCAGAGUUAGAUGAGCUCAGGGACUACUCUCCCCCCAACAAUUAAGGCUGCUCACUGCCCCACCACAUUUUGUUUGCUAGGUUGCCUGAUGGAGCGAGUCUCAUACAAUAAGAUAGAAUUUUGAAGGAAAUCUUGAAGGCACAGUCUGAGAAGCAGGCACUGAGAAGCUCUUAGUUUGCUGGGAAGACUUUGGUGUGGAGGUGAGAGGAGUUCUCCUGGUGAAGAACAGGUUUUCUGGGCAAGCUCCGGUUCUUCCUGCCUUUGCCGGCAGGGAGAGUCCCUCACAGUCCCUCUCGGAUACUUAUAUUUGAAACGAGAAGCACGAAGGGGAUUAAGAGAUGUUAUUACUUUCCUCUUGUAAUUGGAAGGCGACCUCAAUAUAUUCAUUAUCCGCUCAUAGUCGAUGCCAUGCUGUCCUACAGCACUGAAAUUGCAGGAUGACAAUUAUAUAACUGAUGACACAAUUUAUCGUUUUUUUGUUACUCAAGGAAAUUCCAAUGAGGUAAUAAAUCUAUGUGUCAGUAACAAAAUAUUCAGUUUAACAGCUGUGCUCUAUUUUAUAGCCAUAGGUUUAAGGAUUUGAAAGGAGUGUAUGCUAAGCAUCACUUUGCAAUUAGAGGCAAAGAGGAAAUUAAAUGUUCCGGUUUUGUUACAGAGUAAGAACUGUGUCUCAUAAUUUGUCUUUUUGUUAAUAUUGCAUAGCAGCAUCUUUGCCUUUUGCUUGUUCAUCAGCUCAACCCAAAGACUGUGCUGGAAUACCAGUCUGGAAGCCUGCUCCACCAGGAAACCCUUGCAGUGACAGUGUCAGGACAAUGCCAGGAUCAGUUCAGCCCUUUGCUUAUUGACUCAGGGAAGAUUGCCCAGAUCUUCAGGUGCAUGGAGAACCGUGGAAGGACAUGUUCCAUUUAGAAAGACUACCAGAAGUCUCCAUCCAGGUCCAGGCAUAGAUGAAGCCUUUCCCUCAGUUUAUUUCUGUAGGGAAGAGAAGGUGUUUUGUGCACUAUCUCCUUCAGAGGAUCUGUGAAACACGAGCAAACCCUUGACAAGAAGCUGAGUUACUAUCCAGGAGGAUACUGGAGAACCUCAGAGGCUUUGAAUUGUUAGGACCUCACUUAACUGCUUUAAGCACAGCUGUCCCCCUUUAGAAAGGAUAAAUCACAUUUCAUUAACUGUGUCCCUUUCAAUGUUUGCUAAUAUAUUCAGCCAAGGUCUUCAAACAUAUCUAGCUUGUGAAGGCAGUCUAAGAUGGGGGCAGAAACAUUGUGUCUCAGGGGUGUUUUGGCCUUGUCUUCAACUGAUCCCACACAGUGUUGAAUCCAAGAGAACUAACACUGCAGGGGUUUUCAGAGGGUCCCACCACUUGAGCUACAUGACUCUGUAUGAGGCACCCACUGCAGUGAACUGGGCUGGAUGUGGUCUACAAUGACCUAGAAAUCCAAUUGAAAGUAAAGAAUUGUCUCCUGGAGAAGCCAGUUGUCCUGAGACUUUGUCACCUUUAACUUAGCUUCAGUAUAAAUGGGGGUGGGAAAGUCCUAUCAAAACAGGUCUUCAGCUGGUCUCAGUUGUCUUAGAUCUGUCUCCUUCAGAGAAAUGAUGACAACUGAUAACUCCAGUUUUAAGGCUGACUCCUAUGCAGACACUGUCUCCUACAGGCUGUUUCCUGCCACGCUGUUCAGUGGAUAGGCUUGCGCAUCCUUCUUGCUAAGACUGCAUUCACAACACUUAAUAUGCAUUUCUCCUUUUAUAAUUUUAUUGGUGAUAGGUCAGCUGCCGAAAGCCUUUGCCUUUUUGGUAUUUUCAACCCAUCGCCAUCCCCAUUCUGGUAUCAUACAUCUCUGUGGUUAUCUAUUCAAGACAAGCAUUUCAGCUCUCUCGUUCUUUCCUCAAAUUAUUCCCUGCAUCCCUCAUCACUUUUAUACUCUUCUAAGAUUCCUUCUUAAUCGUCAGUAUUUUUUGGUCAUGAGACAUCCUAAACUGAACCCAAAUCCUUUUGGUCUUGUGCCUCUCUAAAUCCAAAGUUUCUAGCAGAGCAAUACUUAAAAACUAAACAAAACAAAACAUCGUGGAUGAGGUUGAAUAUUUGCUGCCUCAGGCCAAGACACGAGGAGUGGGUGAACUCUGGAUUGCCUGUAUUAGAAGUGGGAGAGCUCUAUUUACAUGCAUCUGCUCCUGCAUGAGGUAGGAGCAAUUAGGAUUUUCCUUGUAGUCACUGCAGCAGCACUGCUGUGUGUGGACAUCAGGAUCAGCAUUUCCAUUUUCCCUUCUCCAUAGCUGCUCAAAGGCCAUCUUCCACUUUGUGCUCUCUGCUCUGCAUAGACAGCGUCAUAAAACUGCAACAGUCUUUUCUCUUCUGUCAGAAUGCAGAUGCAUCACUGACUUCCUCCUAGCUUUCUUUCAGCAUUAUUGCUCUCCAUACUUCUCUCUCCCAGUGAAUGUUAUUUGCUCUGUGAUAAAUUAGUUUACUGUUUUCCAAGAGCUGCCUCUCACUUACUUUCUGACCAUAUUUCUAACCUCUCCAGGGCUCUGUGUAUUAUUUUUCUUGUCCUUGUUUAUGUUACCCCCACCCCUUCUGCUGGACUUAGUGCUAUCUACAUAUUUUAUUAACCAGUUGUUUUAUUCCCCCUUCCACAUAACAAGUGGAGGUGCUCUGUGAAAUGAGAGCUACCCGUCAUCCCUGUGGGGAACACAUGAGUCACAGCCCCCUUGUCUAUUAUUAUUCCUUGUUUGCAGCCCUUCAGAUGGUUCCCGUGACAGUAUUCACAUCUAAGCCAAGGGGAGAUAAUAUUUUGAGAGGCACUUUAUCAAACGCUUUCCUGAGUCCCAGCUCUUUGAUGCCUGCUACUCUCCCCACUAGCAUUCAUUUUGUAAUUCUGUGGAUUUUAUAUUCGUUUUCCUUGUGCGCUUAGUCUUUGUAAACCCAUGGUGCUCCAUGCGUUUGUUUCCAUAAAGAGAUCUGUUUAAUUCUUAGGACUUCGCAGGGAGAGUCAUCAAAAGAUACCUUUGAAAACCAGAAAGAAAGCUACAUUUGAGUUCAGAGCUCUAAAGCUGUUUCCAAAUACUGGGAUACACUACGCUGACUGAGCCUGGGGAGAGUAACUCUAGAUAAACAUUAACAGAUAAAAGAGAUUACCUUCCCCUUUAUGCAUCUCCUUGUAUUGCAUGAACUGUUCUCCAGCGGGGACUGAAUCAAAUCUUGUCUCAUGCAGAAAACAGGAGAAGUCAUUAGCUCUGCUAAUUGUUCAAGAUAAAGAGUAAAAGGUGAUGACAGUUUGCUUUGUGUGUGGUUCAACUUGUUAAAUGCACAAAUGAAGCAAUUCUUUUAAUACUCCUUUGAUUCAUUACUAUUAUGGUAUUGCACCAUGCCAGCAGACUAGCACUUUUUUUUUUUUACUCCACACGCUUUGAAUGUAAAGUAUACCCUUCCUUGGAAUACACAUUAAAUAAAUACAAUUACAUUUCAGUACACAAUACCCAAUCAUUUAAUUUGGUAUUGCAAUAUACAACAUCCUUUGAGUUAGCAUGAGCACACAGUAUGAACACAUAAUUUAGUAGUACUUGUAUAGAGAGCUGAUGAAUAGCUUGCCUGGAUCCGAUUUGUAAUGAAGCCACAGUACAAGCAUAUGUAAACUUAGAAAUAUGUGGUUUUGGCCAACUAGGAUUCUUUGGUGUUAUUGCUUAAUUUGCAUUCUUUUUCUUUUGAGAUUAUUUAUUUUUUUAAGCAUUAUAAUGCUUAUAACACCUGGAAGAUUAUGUUUAAUUAGAUGGCUAACUAAUAUCUCACUGAGAAAUGUAUGGUUCUUGAGAAAUAAAGAUUUUCAGAAAGCUGCAUCAGGUUUCACCACAUCAGAGUUUUCAGCUAUCAGCUGUGUACAAGGAGAGUGACAGUAUUGGCAUACACGUCUUGGCACUGAUGGUUGGAGACAGCCAUGGUGAGUUCAUUGUUGCCCUAACCCUUUCCCUGCCCUUUGUACCUGAGAAACCUUAAGUCUGGUGUUUUCUGGGGCUGACUGUUUUGCACCAAGUAAUAGAAGUGGAUGCGGAUACUUGACACUUUGUGCACGACUACUGGAAAUGAUCAAUAUAUACUUUGCACAAAGUGCAUGUGCUUCAUACUAAGGAUGAGCUCAGUGAUCUGUAAAGCACUCCGGACCUCAGCUGACCCCCACAGCUACACGUGUGCAACAUUUCACAACCUUCAGUAAAGAAGAAGAGAGAGCUGAGCAAAGAGCUGAGCCUUCUUUGAGGAUUUCUCCAGUCCUGUCCCUCUGGUACAAAAUCUACUGGCAUAAAAUAAAACAGAUUGGCACUUCUGGAGGUAAGCCUUUCCCACCAUACUGACUGUAUCAAUCUGUAACUUUCUUGAAGACUUAGGAGCUUAGGAAGACAUUAAUUCAUUAUUAUAAUAUCAUAUACAUAUUAUAUAUUUAUUAUCUUAAAUAAUAUCUUUGGGUUUAAAAUGCUCCUUUGCUACCUCUACCACAUAAGAGAGGACCAGUUCAGUUGGUAUUCCACAUCAUCUGUAUGGCUGAUGUGCCCGGUGCUCCCAAGAGCACUGAGUUUUCUUCUCCCCCCAGCAAUGUGCAGCAUGGUGUACAUUAUAGAAAACUUUGGAUUCUGUGCUAACAGACCUUAUUAGCACUCUGCAGAGGUAAGUACAGCAUCACCUCCUCUGUGCACUUCAGCGCUUUAGCUCCUGUCUCCCGGGAGUUGGUUCAGUAUUUUGAAAGAUAAACUAGCUUGCUAAAAAAAGCUUUGAAGUCUCCAGUGAGCAUCUCCUAGAGUUGCUAUUCCUUCAUUAAAAUGAACAAAAAUCUGUUGCCACCCAGUCAGUAGCUGGCUGUACAAGUCCUUAAAGAAGUCUUGGGUGUCUCAGUUUCCCCACUGGCUCCCUCCUGUUACGCACAGGGCUUUUGCACGAGACUAGGAGCCGCAGCUGCACGCGCAGGGAGUGAAAAAAUUAAAUGACUUUGGAGAAGUUAGUUCCAAAGGUGUCUAUACAUUUGGGAUUUCAAAGGCUGAGGGUAGGUAUCAUGUGGGAUAAGGUGCAAGUUUUCAAUAAGACACAUAUACAUCAAGAUAUUCAUAAAUUUAGGGUCCUGUUAGGCAGAAAACACAACACUGGAACUUUAUAGGGUUCCUUAAGAAUAGUUGCUGUUAAAACAGGACUUGCAGUACAAGCAAAGUAUCUUUAGUCUGUCCUUCUUUAAUUUAGUAACUCUCAGUUGCAAAAAAUAAGGGCUGUAUCUCCAGAUGCCCACAAAUCUGAAAGAUUAUCCAAUUACAAUUUAAAGAAACUUGCAGCAAUGAAAUUAGAAGACUCUGAAAUUAACUGAAAUUAGAAGACUGUGGAAAAGAGAAAGAAAGAGUAUGAGAGUCAGUGAGAGAGAGCACUUCACCUUCUCUUAUCAUUAAGUGGGGAGAAUUACUGCUGUCCUUAAGUUUUGUGGUGAGUGGGGUCAAGGUCCCUCAUGUCAGGUGGGGAUCUUCCUGCUUCCCCACCUUUCUUCUUUUUUUGGGAGGGGGUUAGAACUUGAUGAUCCCGGAGGUCCCUUCCAACAUAAGCCAUUCAAUGAUUCAGUGACUCUUUUCUUCUGCUUCUCUGUCUUUUGGUUGGUGCAGACCUUGUGCAUAUAUGAAAAGCUGACAACAAUUCCUACGGAUUUCUUUUAGAUUUACAUGUGUUAACAAAAAAGAGGCUCUUAGUAGCUCUGUUUGUGCAUUAUGAGCAGAAAAUAAAGGGUGUUGUUAAUUCUGGGCUGAACUUGGGACCACUGGGUGGCUUUUUCUCCUGGGAACAAAAGGGAGAUGCCAGAGAGCCCUUGCCUUGAAAUCCCAGACCAGGAUCAGGAAGAGCUAAUAGCCCUUCCUAGGCUUGUGCAGGUCCUGGGAGUUGUCCACAGAAGAAAACUGUGUUAUCAUGUCUGUAAAGGGGAACUGUAUGAGGAUGUAUUCUCAUCCCUUAUCCACUGUAGGUUUUGUCAUUCCUGAGCUAGCACAGGAGAGUGUCCAAUUGGUUCAGGAGCAUUUGAGAUUGAUUGCUGAUAAAGCCCAUUUACAUAAUUGCUAGCCAUUGCUAACAAUUGCUGACAGCUUUUGCAGGCUCACUCUGAGGCAUGUCUGGGCCAACCUUGCUGUCUAACCCUUGCAUUCUCAAAUCUGACCUUCUCCAUAAGCUAGCACUGCUGCAAGAUAGCAGGUGGCCUGGUGCAAGCUGGCAGCUCCAUGUUGCUCUUCAGUAGCCUCCAGUACCAAAUCCCUACUGCCUGUUGUCUGCUCCUUCACCUGUCUUUGUGCUGUUUCCAAAACACGUCAGCCAUACUUGAUGCUCUCAAGUCUCCCUGCCAUUAUUAGGGUCAAACUGAAGUCUUGUUUAAGGAAGUGCCACUACCCUAGAUCUUCACUGUUCACUCUGUUAGCAGCCAGGAUUCAGCUGCUUGCAAUGUUAUGAAAUAGAAAUGGCCUUUUAAGACAACUUUAAGAACCCUCUUUCCCCAUCUGCUUUUUUUCCUGUCCUCCUAUUCAUUUUGUCUCCCCAAACUCGUCAGACCCUCACUUUCCUCUCACAGAUGGAGAGAAAUGGGAAGUCAGGAAGGUCUUUGCCUUCUGAGUGGUUCAAAUGGCUUCUCCUAUUAACUGGCUGUACACCCUGCCAAAGGGUAAAAAUGAGAGGGAUUUCUCUUUGCUUCUCAUGUUGUGGAGCCACUGCCAGAGCUCCAGCACUGCAGUGAUGUAGAGACCAGCAGGGGAUUUGAGUCUCAGCAUUCUAAAUCUGCUUUGUGCAUGUGCAGAUGGUGACUUACAGCCCGAGGGAUCAUGAAGGAUUGUUCUCUGCACUUGCUUUAGUGAUGUUCUGGGGCGCAGCUGCCUGUCCCUUCAGCUGCACUGCUGCAGUGGCUUGCAGAGACUGCCAAAAAGUCUCAGAAUGCUGUAAUGCUUCCCCAAACCUUUCACACUGGGUUAUUUCAGUGACCAGAGUGUGGUCCCAAGCGGAGGAGGGAGAAAACAGAAAUAUGCCCAAGUGUGGUGAACAGAUGAAAACAAGCAGAAAACUGGGGAGAGCUUGAAUACGUGCAGUUCCUCUGCUCGGCUUUGUUGCCAAAGCUCCUUUGUGCCUCUGGGAAGCUGUCUCCAAGUCUCUCCUUGCCGACAUGAUGCACAACUAGUCCAGAACUGAGCAAGAGGAGGGACGCUCCGGAGCCGCCGAAGUCCGCAGGAAGGGAAAGGAGAUCAGCCAAGGGUCAGGCUCACUAAGAGUCUAAUGCGGCUCUAGCGGGGGCAGCUCCCCCCACCCCUCUCAGCUCCCGAUGCCAGCAGCAGCCUGCAGGCAGCCCGGCUGUCGUAAGCAUGCGUGACUCAGUGCUACAGCGCACUGCUGAGUCAUGUGGGAGACAGGAUUUGUCACGCUGUCGCUGAGGAUUUUGCUACGUUAAGCAAGCGCUCGGGCUGUCUGCAGGAUUGGGCCAAACCUUUCCUAUGCACGCAGACAUCUAUGACUUAAACUUGCUGGAAUGAGAUGAACACGGCAAGGAAAGAGCAAAUCACACGCAGAAGACAAAGGCAGGAGAGUGCAGCAGCGCUCAGUGUAAUUGCAGUGGGUGCGUGUAAAAAGCUGAGCCAUUCUCAGACUUCAUUCACAACCUGUCUAAUAAGACCUGUGAUGAGUUUUACAGACCAGGCUACCAGAAGGAAGAGUGGGGUGGUAAAUAUGUUCUCCAGCGCUUAAGGGAGAUUGAAUGUUCUGCUCAGGCAAGAAGCUCCUGCUCUUACUGUAGAUGCAAAACAGACCCCGCUUUGCUGUGAUUCUGGAGCAACAGAGGGAGGAAAUCUCAGUCUGGUAGCAUGGAGCCUUUCUGAGUUUAUAAUAAUGAGUUAAUGAUGGAGAUCUAAGUGUGAAAGGUAAAUAGACUAUAUAUCUCAAUGGAAAUGGAUUUUUUCAUGUGAAAAGCGUGGCAUAAAAGGUAAAAUGUCAAUGCUGUAAAUUUUCUUCCUUUAGUAUGUUUAUUUACCUUUAAUUACUGACAGCUAGGCUAAGUUGUUGGAAAUAUGUUAGGAAAAAUCUCUGAAAGAGUGGUCAGACACUGGAGCAGGCUGCUCAGGGAGGUAGUGAGUCACCGCCCCUGGUGGUGUUCAAGGAACUGAAAGUUUAGAUUGGAAACACACAAACAAUGGAUCUGGAAAGGAAAUGAGUCUUACGCACUGCUGCUGAUGCCAUGUGUCCCCCAUGCCAUUAAUAUGGGUUUGUGUGUACUCUGAGAUGUCACUAAAAUUCUCAACUGAGUAUUUUAGAAAGAGUGAAGCUGCCUUCUAGCCUGUACUGACCACCUGAGGACAGCUGUUCUCCAGAAGACAUAGCUAUAAACCAAUGUUCUGGCAAUGAGGCUCUGUUCCUGGCUUUGCCUUGGGUUACUUUAGGCAAAAUAAUGACAUUCUGUGCCUUAGUUUCCUAUUCUGUAGAAGGAUAAUAAUAAUGUGAUUUCCUUUGAUGUCAUGCCAGAACUGUAUGUUAAAAAUUCAAUUAAAUAUUCAGGUGAUUCUCUGAUUCUUUGGUCUAUGGUGAUGAAGAAGACUUGGACACGAAUUAAAUGUGACCAAAACUCAAUUGUAGCUGCAGCUACACAGCCUUUCCAGCACUGGAUAACAAUGCUGCCUGGCUGCAAGAUGCCUGGAAGGGUGCCUCAGAAAUGGUUUUCUCUGAAUUGGGUUUGAUGCACCAACCAUCAAAACAAACAAACGAACAGCAAAAAAAGCGAUCCUUUCUGAAACGCUCUGAUCAGUGCUGAAGUAAUUUUCAAGCUUGCUAUUCCCUUUACCACUAAGGGGCUUUUUGGUGGACAAACUGACUGAUGUAGAAGGUCCACACAGCUGCUGUUUCAGCAAAUGCAAGCAGAAAUUUUCUGCUGGUUUAUUAAUUUCAAAGGCUUCUGUUCAAAUUGCCAACUCUUGCAUCUAAAAUUCAUGUACAAUAGUGUCUGUGUUGGAGAGCCAGCUAUGCAGGACUUCCAGGCCCCAGCUCCCUGUGAGAGCAGCAGAUGAACGAAGACAAACUGCACAAGUUAGAUGCCAAAGUAAAUGGCUGAGGGAUGACCUGAAGCCUCCUCUGCCACCAGUAGUUGUUUCUUUUUUUAUUUGGUACGAAAAUUAAAGCCUUGAAGAAUAAAAUGAGGAGAAGUCCAUGUUCAUCACCAAGUCUGGGGCAGCCCUGUGUGAACCCUCCUACAAGAAGCUGGCCAGGAGCUCCGCAGAGCCACAGUCACUGCUGUCUUCUGGUGUAUGGCUGAAGUCCUAAAUCUCUCCUAUUUUUUUUUUUGGUCAAAGUAUUUUUCCUUUAAAAUGGAAUGAGAAUUUGUUUGGCUCCCAGGAAGCAGUUGAGGCCAUUUUCUCACAGAUGGCAAAUGCCAAAUCUUUUAGGAACAAUGCUUGUAAAAGCAUUUUGUGAUUGUCUUAUGUAAGAGAAAUGUAUUCAUAACAGGUCCUUUUGCUGCUGUGCUGGUGAUAAAGGUCACAGAUAAUGGUGUUCUUUAUGAAGUGCAGCACUGUUAAACCUUUUGUACGAGGACAAAAGUACAAAAAACUUUUGGUUCCCAGCUGGGGCAGCUUCUCCCUGAACAAAGGGAAUCCAGAAUCAAGCAGAGACUGGAAUUUUAAAGGUGAUAUCACAGAUCUCAUUGCAUGCCCCUGGUAACAUAGGAAAUAAAAGAAACUGCCUAUUUUAAAUCUAACUCUCAGCAAGCCAAUCUAAAAAGUCCGAGAUUUACUAUCACACCUUGAAAUAUGUGCUUUUGCUAAUCUCUGUUAAUCCACAGGAGAGGUACUUGAAAAUAAUCACUAUAACUAAGCUGCAAGUCUUGAAAUAACAGUUCUUUCAGCUUUGAUUUCACAGAUCAAUUGGUGACCAGCGUUACAGAAAUCAAAAAGGACAAGGAAAAUCUGAUGUUUUUACUAAGUUCAUGUAUUAUAUAAAUAUCCAGGAGCCAUUUUGAUUUCAAUGUAAUGACUGCUUGAUCUUUGCAGGUUUGGGCAGCAGAUGCUAUAGCGCUUCGCAGACCUCCCUCACAUUCUCUUUGGAAGGGCCUGGAGAGGUUUAGAACAAGCCUCAGCUGUGUUACCAUUCUCUGUGGGCUCAAUGGUCAAGUGAGUGCCCUGAGUAAACUCACGAUGUUCCCUUACUCAGACAGCUCUCUUGCAGGACUUCCCUCAAAAGUUUAAGAUCACAUUGUUCAACUCCUUGUAGAAUCAAGACCAAGCAAUGCCAAUAUAGAAAAGCUGCGACUUCUGCUGACCUUAGUUCGGCAUGGAUGCUAAUUAGGAUCUGAAGGACUGAAGGAGUGGAUUGAUGAUACACUUGUUGAAUAAAGGGCUAAAAUCCGGACAGCAUUUAAAGCCGAGGCUCCACAAGUGCAAAUGGCCAGCCUGUCCUCUUCCACCAUGCUUCAGUCAUGAAAGAACCAGUUGUGCCCAGGGCUAUUUAGCCCAGGGCUGCCCAUCAGUAACUGCCAUUGCUUGGCAAUUGGGUUGAAUACUUUUAGGUAAAAUUCUGUUUAUCUGUGAAUGAGAAAGUGCCCAAGGCUACUUCUUAACUACUAUUUACCCAGUGGCAACUAUGGUUUUGGUAAUUUUUAUCUAGACAAACUUGAGCUAGUGGCCAGAAGGGAGAUACCAGUGAUUUUCCUAAGCAGUUGAGCUGUACAGCUUCUUGGUUGGACUGGAUGGUCUUGGGGGUCUUUUCCAAGAGGACAAGCAACUACACUGAUUCAGAUAAGUGAUUCAGCAUGUUACUGUUUGAGAUUGGGUUACUCAUUUUAGGAAUAUGCAUCAAGUCUUUCAUCCACUCCUGGGUAGGUAGUGUUGUUUUUACUAUAACUUCAGUUGUCUCUUUUAAGAGUUGCUAGGACACUCCGAGGAACUACAGGCCCAUCAGCCUGACCUCAGUGCCAGGAAAGGUUAUGGAGCAGAUCAUCUUGAGGGAGAUCACACGGCAUGUGUGGGACAGCUGGGGAAUCAGGCCCAGCCAGAAGGAGUUCAUGAAAGGCAGGCACUGCUUGACCAACCUGAGCUCUUUCUAUAAUUGAGUGACCCUCCUGGUGGAUGACGAAAAGGCUGUUGACGUAGUCUGCCUAGGCUUCAGCAAAGCCUUCGACACUGUCUCCCACAGUAUUCUACUGGAGAAUCUGGCAGCCCGUUGCUUGGACAGGGACCAAAACCCUACUGGAGUCUGAAUGGAAUGAAAGGAAGGGAAAGGAAGAACACUGGUAUACCAGCUUUCUCAAUAUCAAUACAAAAAGAGGAAUGUGAAGAGGAGCAUAAAUAUGCAAUAACUGAUACUGUGAAGAAGAGAGCUGACAAAACUUCGUUAAGAGGAGGAAGAUGUGCAUAUCUAAUCAACAGUAGGAUUUCUUGGGGUGUGGUGUCUGAUCACCAGCUGUUGUGAAAAGGAGACACAGCAACAGGGCAUCAUCUUGGCUAAGGAGAGAAUAGAUUGUUGGACCUUCAGCUUCUCAAAACAGGUGAAGAGGCAUCAGUCUGGUUCCUAAGCACAAAGAAGAAGAAAAAAAGACAGACUGAAGAGUCCCAGGUCUCUCAUCACUACAAAGGCCUUAUGGAAACCCCACUGACUUAGGAAGAGAUUACAGCAUUUUCAGUUGCCAGAAGAAGCACUCUAUAGUUUACCAAGCUAUUUCAGAGGUACCAAUGCUUAUAGAAGACAGUGGAAUACUCCUACUGACCUUCAUGAACACCACAUUUUGGUUCUUCAUUUUGUGGGUGCUUUAGCAGUAGAAGUGUCACUGUAAUGACUUCAUACACAUUUCAGUGGUUUGAGAAUUAUGUUUUUCAUUUCCGUGGUACUUCUUCAUGCAACCAUCAAAAAAUGCCCGUUGUUCUCCUCAGCAGUUUCCAGACUGACCAGAACUCAGAAACAUAGUCAAAGCAAUGACAUUAUCAACUUGUUGACAUAAGUUUUGGGUGCGGUGGCUUUAAUUUGGACACACUUUUUCCUGCUGCAGAGUAGAAGUGUAGACUAAUGAAGUUCAGAACAUUGUCUGAAGGUCAUCAUUUUCAACAGCUCCUGUCCUUUUUGUUUGGGAAUGGAUUGGUGAUCUGCAAUACUUUAGUAGUCAGGUGAUCAUCUUGAGUAACCACUGAUGUUUCCAAAAGUGAAAGUUCAUCAUUCACUGCAAAAUGGGCCUUGUUAAAAUAAUACCAUCUGCAUCAAUCAGUAGUUAUUUUGGGAAAAAUUUUCUUUAUCCUUUUGCUUGAUAUUCUUUGCUAAAAUUCCAGUUUUCUUUUGGAUUCUGCCAAUCCAAAAGACCCCUGGUGUCAAGGCUGAGGCAUCAGAGAGGCACAAGAGAUGUUUCUGUCAUCAUCUGACCUACUAAAUACUGAAUAAGUAAUCAUAAGCACUAAUGAGUAUUUAGAUUACUAAGAGGAAAGAAAACCUAAACUAAAUCAGCAGCAAUAUCAUUAAAAGCAUUGACUGAAUGCUAUUUGCACUGCCAGUACAUAUGAGAGCUCUUGUUUGUUCUGCAGCCUAAUUUUGGUGGAGUGCUGCAUGUAGGGUCUCUCCCUGCGGCUGGCCCUACUCUCCAGAAGUACUUUGUCAUUCCAUCCUAUAGCUCCAUGCUAAAAACACAUCACUUGAUGCAGUUUCCAGCAGCAAUUCCAUCAAAAGGAAGAGCUUUCUUUCUUUAUUUUUUAAUCCUUCACAGAAUAGUUGUGCAGGUUUUUUUCAUUACAAGAAAUGAGGAGAUCUGGCUCUGUGGUGACACCAGAUAACGUGAAUUUUAUCAGUACAGACUGGCACGUCCCAUAAAGUUCAUUUUAAUGAUUGUUAGCAUUUCUCAGUAAUUCCAUGUUUGCACUGAUGCACAGUGAGGUGUAUGCCAGUGAGCCAGUUUACAAACUUUGUAUGCAUACAUACAUGUACGUAAUGUUUAAGAGAAGACCGUGUGAUAUAAACAAACGAUGUAGAAGCAGCAUCUAUUUUGCCUGCAGAAGAAAGGGAUGUCGAAGACUUUGGGCAGUUCUCACACAGUCAUUGUUCGCUUUCUGCUCUGUAAGCCUUACAAAAAGCUACUGACUAUCCUUCAGUUGAAGUGGAAACUGCUCAUACAUUGGAAUGAGUGGGCAGAGAGCUGGUCAGAUGGGAUGUCCCGGAGGCCAGCAGGAAGUGAUGAUCAGAUUAGCUGAGUCAUAACUGCCAAGCACAACUAUCUAUCACAGCUGCCCUUCAGAGGAACUCUCCUAAUCCGAUUGGUCUCGAGGAAUGUGUCUGCCCUGUCUGGAGCUGUUUUCCUGGGUCUCAGCUCCUUUUCAACUUGGGAGUGCUGAUAUCCCAAAGGUCCUUUUGAUUUUCCUCAUUAUGAGAAGGUUAUGAAAUCUCGGUCCCAACUAAAUGCCUAAUUGUCAUCAAGACAUGGAAAGCUGCAGUUCAGCCUCAAUCCAGCUGUCAGCAAGAAAAACGUGCCUUUCAGUGCCCUCCAGCUCUUUCUGCAGACCUUUACAGAAGAUUUUUUUUUUUUUGUGGGCUUUAUUAAACUAGCCCAUGAGCUUUAAGCAUCUUCUCUGGAUUUUGAAAUCAUGCUCUUACACACAUGACAGAGAUCAUCUACCCCACAGGAGAUUGCAGAGGUGUGUGUUUUCUGCCCGCAGCAGAAAUGCCUGUGCUUCUGGGGAGGGAUGAGGACAGUUUUCGUGGGCUCACAGUCUGCAUCCCCAGAGGCGCUUUGUUGACCUCACUGAUUUUUACAUUCAAGUGAAUGACCCAUAUAGCAGCAACAAAGCCAGGGAAGCUCAAAGCUUUCAACAGAUGACCCCCAAAAGGUGAGGAAAAAGUCAACUGAAGUCAUAUAGGAGGAGGCAAAGCAAUUCCCAUUUCCUGUCUCUGAAGUCAAGGAGUUUUUUUGGCCACUUACAUUUGAAUCUUUCCCCAACAUUAACCCCUGCAGUGCUGUUCAGGUGACCUGCUCUGAUCUUUGAAGGCAUAACGUGGAGAAACAAGUGGAAAUAGACAAUUUGGGAGUUUUUCCUCCAGCAUCUGCUUGUGUGGAUUGCACCAAGGCACCACUCAAGCUCUCUCCUCAUUACCAGACAGCCUAUUCAUUCCAGCUCUGCGGAAGCAAUGCUUCCUACAGUUAAUAUUACAGUGCAGCAGUUCUGAGCCAAUGAGAUCAACUUCUCUCUGCUGUUUAUUUGCAAAAAACAAAAGUAAAUGUUUUUUAUAUGGACAUUGAGAAGGGCCUUUAAAUCAUGGGUGUAGUAUAUAUGUGCAGCUGGCGAAAAGACCUGGCAGCAGUGAAGUUUUCCCUCAAACCUCCAUAGACAUAUAAGGCACUGUUUUGGAAGCAGCUUAAAGCCAACAAAAAACUCCACUGCAUUUCAAUAGCACAGAGGGAGCUGCACAGUUCCCUGUAAGCCAGGGAGACUAAGUCUCUCACCACUAAAGCAAAGCUCUGCCCCUUUGCUCUGUGCUCUGCUUUACACUGCAUUUGUAGCCUCACAUUUCUCAGUUUUUCUUCCCUUUUGUUUUUCCAGACUGUUACUGCUGCA